AUGUAUCUUUUUAGACGUCAAAAAGGAGGUCUGAUACACAUUUCUUCUCAACACUCCACAGCCUUGUCGGGGGCUCCUGGACCAAUGAUUUUGGCUCUGGCGUUGGCCAUGUUUGCCUUAGUUUUGAUUCUGUAUUCCUUCCUUUUUCUUGACCCCAGGCAGCCCCUUGUAGGGCAUUAUGCGGGGGCUCAGGAACCCCGGCUCCCCAGAUGGGCCUCUGACUUCCUUCUCUCCUGCAUCCUUUUCUUCUUCCAGCAGAGAGAAGGGGUGUUUGCCGAGCAGCCAAGAUACCGUGGAAAGGAUCGAGGUGCUGGGACCCUUGGCAGCAGCCUCCUGGGGGGGACCUAAACCCCCGUGCGAUGACUUGUUCUGCUUACGCCUCCAAAAGACCAGAGGAGAGGUUAACCUCUGAAAUUGUUAGCCAGAAUCGUGGUUUGUUUGGUUUUUCACGUUACAUUCUGUUGUGCCAACCAUGAGUUUUGUACAUUCUUUUUGUGCUGUUUCCUGAAUACGUUCCGAAGCUAAAUGCUGAUUAUACUUAGGUAUUUUAAGCAUCAAGAAAGAAUUUUACUGUAAACCUCAGUCUGGUUGUUCUCUUUAAAAUAAGGCUAUUACUUUUCUGUCCUCCUGAAUUUAAUUCAGUUUUCCAUACUAUUUAGGAUGACCAACUAUCCUGGUUUCCUUUGGGCUGGAGGGUUUUCUGGCUUGCAAGAUUUUAGGGCUAACACCAAAUAGUCCCAGGCCAAUUGGGACGGCUGGCCACCCUGAUACCUGUUCGCCCUAUUCGAUUUUUGCCCUUUAAUGUAGCCACCAGCCCAGAAGAGGAGAGAACGUACUCCCCAGUUAAAAGUCUUUGGGAUUGUACACGUUUCCUGACAUAAAUUUCUAUACCACCAGAUCCCUAUCCCCUGCCCUCGUCAAUCUUGCAAAAAAUCAAUUUGACUAAUCUCCCCCUUACCAAUCAGGCCUACCAAAGUCAAUAUAAUCACCAACUUCAAGCUAUCCUGCUCUAAAGUCAAAGCUAUAAUCCAGAUUUUAAGUUAACAUCUCUCAGGGAGGAAAUCUCCCAUGGAAAAAUACCAUGGAAAAAUCCAUGACUUUGACCACACAGAUACAUUCAUUAUGGCAAGGCUAUAAUCACAACACUGCCCGUCAGGGUUUCCAUUAUAAACGGGGUCUGAAUCUUGGUGGAGCGCAAUUCUUUCCAGCUGGAGUAAACCACGGACAGGUUUUCAGCCCAUUGGGGAUUUUUCUGAUUUGUUUACAAAUUGGCAAGGCUGGGGGUGGGGGAGGAGGGAAAGAGGGGGAAGCUGAGGCUGGGAAAG
rnacentral:lncRNA from 1 species